rnacentral:tRNA from 1 species
ACCUGGCUGGCUCAGUGGGUACAGCACGUGACUCUUGAUCUCGGGGGGUCGUGAGUUCAAGCCUCAUGCUGGGUG